rnacentral:rRNA from 1 species
UACGUAGGGUGCGAGCGUUUGUCCGGAAUUACUGGGCGUAAAGAGCUCGUAGGUGGUUUGUCGCGUUGUCCGUGAAAACUCACAGCUUAACUGUGGGCGUGCGGGCGAUACGGGCAGACUGGAGUACUGCAGGGGAGACUGGAAUUCCUGGUGUAGCGGUGGAAUGCGCAGAUAUCAGGAGGAACACCGGUGGCGAAGGCGGCUCUCUGGAACGGUACUGACGCUGAGACGCGAAAGCGUGGGGAGCGAACAGG